UCCUUCAGGGCAGGGUGCAAUUCCCUACCGGCGGUGAUGCAUCAAGUGUCUGGACAUAUGUCCAGCACUUGAUGCAAAGUCCGUGACCUGUCUGCCAUUGGCAGAUGGCUGAUCUGGUGUAAUUCCAGAACCGACAGUAUAGUCUGGAUGGGAGAAGGA
rnacentral:ncRNA from 1 species